GUUAGGAAUAUUGGACAAUGGGCGAAAGCCUGAUCCAGCCAUGCCGCGUGAACGAUGAAGGCCUUCGGGUUGUAAACUGCUUUUGUACGGAACGAAACGGUCCGGGUUAAUACCCUGGGCUAAUGACGGUACCGUAAGAAUAAGCACCGGCUAACUACGUGCCAGCAGCCGCGGUAAUACGAAGGGUGCAAGCGUUAAUCGGAAUUACUGGGCGUAAAGCGCGCGUAGGUGGUUUUGUAAGUUGGAGGUGAAAUCCCCGGGCUCAACCUGGGAACUGCCUCCAAAACUGCAUGACUAGAGUACGGUAGAGGGUAGUGGAAUUUCCUGUGUAGCGGUGAAAUGCGUAGAUAUAGGAAGGAACACCAGUGGCGAAGGCGACUACCUGGACUGAUACUGACACUGAGGUGCGAAAGCGUGGGGAGCAAACAGGAUUAGAAACCCGAGUAGUCC
rnacentral:rRNA from 1 species